GACACAUCUUUGAAUGAAAACAUGAAAGUUGCUGCAUUGAUUUUCCUUGUAGGCUGCACUAUUGGCACUGUCUUGGGUGAAGUCGAUGAUCGGUGCGUAGCAGCACCAGGACUAAAAGGUCCCUGCGCUGAAAAGUUUCUUCGUUGGGCCUACUAUCUACAUGGAAAACUGUGCAAGCUCUUUAUUUGGGGUGGAUGUGGUGAACACGGCGAAAAUCGCUUUAACAGUGAAUGGGAGUGCACCAACACCUGUAUAUCAGGACGUUAAUGAAGUUCCUAGCUCAAAAAUUAGGCAAUUCCGCAAAUAGUAAUACUAUUAUACACGUUCACUUAUGUUUUUUUUUUUUCUGGUAAAAUCAUUUCGCUUAUAGAAAAACAGAAAUACUGUACUAAAAUAGCAGUAUACAAAUAUCACAGCAUACAACAAUGUAUAUAACAGGGUUCCACCUAUUUGCCACAUUGCCGAGCGGGUUGAUUAUAAAUCAAUCGGUCAGUCAACCAGCACUGACAGAUAUUCCUACUUAACACAGCAAACAGGGUAUCUGACCAGACUCGACUCAUGUAUAUAUUUUCAAUCAUCACGCAUUUUUCCUGAUUUCCAUUUGGUUUCAGCUUCACUUUAAUCGUAAACAAAUUUCAAGGGUUUUGAAAUAUAAUUGAGAAUGUUUUAGUUCCGGUUGCAUUUGUGAAUAAAUAGGGCGCUAAUUACUUAGGAUACGACAGUCCGUUUUGAAACUACAUUAAGGGGAAAACAUGAAACUCGCUGAAUUAAUUGUCUUUACAAGCUGCAUUGUUGGCAUUGCACUGGGAUUAAAAGAUGAACCUUGCUUACGAGCAAGAUGCUGAAGAACAACAGUGCAAGAUGUUUCUAUAUGGUGGUUGUGGCUUUCGAGGAGCAGUGAUUUAACAUGUAUAAAGGCAAAUUGCAAGAACCCAAAAAUGUUCACAAAAAUAAUAAAUAAAUUGUAUAUUUAUAUACUACCUGGCAUA
rnacentral:sRNA from 1 species